ensembl:processed_transcript
CGGCUAAUCUCGUUGAUCACCGGCUGCAGCUGAGCUUCAUGUCGAACGCACCUUUUGAUACAUGCUUCGAAGCCUCGGCGCACAACGUCACAUCACUAGUGGAAGCGUCGUUAAAAUGAUACACGUCUUUAAUUUGCUAUCAUGGCUCUUGAUUCUACGCGUCCUUGGUGUGACUGGUACAGAUGUUCCGGUGUCAGUGAUGGAAGAAGAUUCAGUCAUUCUACACACUGGUGUUGAAAAUCUUACAGAAAUUAAAUGGUAUUUUAAUAAGACUCGCAUCGCUCAACUCAAUGGAAAUGUCAGUUUUAUCUGUACCGAUAAUCAGUGUAUUAAUGGCACUGAGAGAUUCAGAGGCAGACUGAAGCUGGACCUUAAGACUGGAUCUCUGACCAUCAUGAAAAUCAAUAAAACACACUCUGGAGAAUAUCAACUAGUAGUUGAUGGCAUUGGCAAUAGCAAUGGGGGAAAGAUCCUUAUUAUUACUGUCCAAGAUAAUCCCGCUGUUUAUAAUCAAGUAAAGAAAAACCCGGGAGAGUCUGUCACUUUCAAUCCUGGCGUGAGAAGAGACAUAAUUGUUGUGAUGAAGUGUUUUUUAAAUAAUAUUCUCAUUGCUGAGAUCACCGGAGGUCAGAGUCAGAUCUGCAGUAAUGUUCAGUGUAAAGAGAGAUUCACAGACCGACUGAAACUGGACAGUGAAACUGCAUCUCUGACCAUCACGAACAUCAGAAACACAGAUUCUGGAAAUUAUACACUAGAGAUUUUCAUCAGAAACGACACACACUUCAGCAUCACCAGAGAGAAGACGUUCAGCCUCACUGUCGUUUCUCCUCCACCUUCACGUCUGUCUGGAGGUGCAAUAGCAGGAAUAGUUAUUCUGCUGGUUGUCGUCGCUGCUGUUGUUGGUGGUGUGAUUUACUAUCUUCGUCACAGAAGUGAUAGAGCGGCACAGCCGCAGGAAGGUGUUGCUGAUGAUCCUAGUAGCCACCCUUUGAGGGACAUGGGAGAUUCUUAAAUCAGACUCUGGCUGCUAAUAAAACAAUGCAGCAACACUUUGAUACUGAAAGAAAAACUGGUGUGAAUGCGCUAUUGGAGAAUCACGAAGAAACUUGGUGCUAAAUCAACUGAUUAGCUUCAGUUUGGAGGAGGUGUUGAAGAGGAUCAGUGGAGGAUCAGCUCUCUGCUGGAGUGAGAAGGUGAAUGAGCAGAGCUUCAGCUCU